GUGAAUACCAGCCUGUUCGAUGGACAUUUUCCUCACACUAGCCAGUUGUAAAGCCCUGGAGAAAAUCUGAGCUGCUUUCUGAAAAUUGUCUAUGUCCUGUCACUUCAAGUAAGGAGAUUCUGUUUCAAAGCCAUUACUGUGAGGAAGCCCAUACUAAUCCAUACAGAGAGGCUGCAUGGAGAGGCCACUUGGGAAGGAAUAGAGGCCUGCAGCUGAAGGUCAUGAUAAACUCCCAGAUGUUGAAAAAGACACACAUCACACAUGGAGAUCACAUCUUUGGAGCCAAGGCAAUUGGAGUCUGGUAAAACCAAGAAGCAAAAUGUCCAUGAAAAAUAAGAGAAUGAGAUUCAUUAACUUAGGUUGAUUUCCUUAAGAGAUUGUGACCUGGAGAUUUGCUGCAGGGAGUUUAUUGGGAAGAACACUCUGGAGCAACACCAUUAAAGGGACAUUUAAUACAUUGGUUUAUAAGACUCAAUGGGCAGAACGGCUUGCACCACAUCCUGAUCUCUUGCUCUGGCCUCUAUGUAAUCCUGGAAGUAAAUCAAGAAUCGAUUAAAACACCAGGAAUGAACCCUCUCAUCAUGUGUAGACACAGAGAGAUGGAAGUCAUCUGCAAGCAAAGGAAUGAAGACCCUCAAAACCAAACCUACCAACAUCAUGAACUUGGAUAUUUAGCCUUCAGAACUUUGAAAAGAUAGAGUUAUUUAAACAUCUUAGUGAGAAAUAUUUUUAUGGAAGUCUUAGCAAAUUAAUGGAGUCAGUUUUCUCAAGAGGCUUAUGUUUUAGAGAGUUUUAGCUUCAGGGAAAAAUUGAGCAAAAUAUAGAGAAGGAAUAUUUUCCACAGUGCCUCUACACAUGCGUAGCUUCCUACGUUAUUAACAAUCACCAACAGAAUGGUACAUUUGUUAUAAUUGUUGAAGUUUUGUGACACAUAAUUAUUAUCCAAAGUCCAUGUUAUACAGAGGGUUCAUAGUUGGUGUUGAAUAUUUCCUGGAUUAAAAAAAAUGUGUAAUGUAUUUAUUUACCUUUAUAGUACUAUACAAAUAGUUUCACUGGUGAAAAGAAAAAUCUUCUAUGCUCUAUUAGUCCUUCUCCAUAACCCCUGAAACCACUGGUCUUUUUAUUAUCUCCACAUAUUUUUAUUUUUCAGAAUUUUUGAGCAGUUGAAGUCAAACUAUCUAAAAGGAUUUGAAUUUGGCUUUUGCCACAUAGUAAUGUAC
rnacentral:lncRNA from 1 species